rnacentral:SRP_RNA from 1 species
UAUGAAGGGCUCAGGGUUGAAAUGCCGCCAACUCGGUCAGGUUUGGAAAAAAGCAGCCGUAACGGUUUUUUCAAGGUCUGAGUUCCUUCGCCUCU